rnacentral:rRNA from 1 species
ACUCAAAUGAAUAGACGGGGGCCCGCACAAGCAGUGGAGUAUGUGGUUUAAUUCGAAGCAACGCGAAGAACCUUACCAGGGCUUGACAUACCAUUGACCGCGCAAGAGAUUGCGCUUUCCUUCGGGACAAUGGAUACAGGUGGUGCAUGGUUGUCGUCAGCUCGUGUCGUGAGAUGUUGGGUUAAGUCCCGCAACGAGCGCAACCCUUGUUUUUAGUUGCCAGCAUGUAAUGAUGGGCACUCUAGAGAGACUGCCGGUGACAAAUCGGAGGAAGGUGGGGACGACGUCAAAUCAUCAUGCCCCUUAUGUCCUGGGCUACACACGUACUACAAUGGCUACUACAGCGCGACGCAAUAUCGUAAGAUGGAGCAAAACGUCAAAAGUAGUCCCAGUUCGAAUUGUGGGCUGAAACCCGCCCACAUGAAGUCGGAAUUGCUAGUAAUGGCAGGUCAGCAUACUGCCGUGAAUACGUUCCCGGGCCUUGUACACACCGCCCGU